UCUCCGUUGGUGAACCAGCGGAGGGAUCAUUACAGGACUCGCAAGCCUCCUUCACCCUGUGAACCACCCUACAAGCACGUUCCUUCGACGGUUGUCCCGGCGGGGGUUUUCCCUCUUCGGGGCCCACAUCCAGCCGGCACCCUACUAUACACUGUCUCUUUACGUUGGCAUCUCGAAAAAAAACAAACAAAUCAAAACUUUCAACAGCGGAUCUCUUGGUUCUG
rnacentral:misc_RNA from 1 species